ACGAUACGGUACACUGAUUGACGAAAUGAUGGAAAACUAUAUAAAAUAAACAUUCCCUAAAGCAUAAAUAUAGUAUAUACAAAGCAAUGCUUACAAAUAAAUCCGACUCUCAUUAACGAAAGUAUUUUAUAAGCCCGAAAGAUCUGUCUCUAGGUUUCUAUCCGUCUUUAACUGCACUCAGUAUCUAUAGAUUAUACGCUCGUAAAUUAGAGUUCAAUGAAACAAUCAAACGGUAAACGGCUAUUGCAAUUCUCCUUGACACGUCGAUAAAUAUCCAUCACGCAGCUGUUCACCGUAUGUCAAAACGCAACGAAAGGAACGCAGCAUUAGUCUCUUGAUUGUAAGCAAUGGAGGAGGGCGUCUCGCAGCUCGCAACUGUCCUGCUGCACCGAAAACGAGGAGUGGAAAGGCGGGCGAGACGGCCAGGCAAGCAACGAAAGGAAAGACAAACGGAACAGAUUGGUUUCCGGUAGCGCAGCUACGCGACGAGGCAGCAGCUGCGCGAGGUCGGCCGUUUCGAAGCCCCGGGUUUGUCACAGGAGGCAGGAAACGCUCGCACCCGUUAAUAACCCAAUUAAAACGGACAGGAAACCCUGGUAGCCCCGGUACCGUCGGUCUGGACGAUGCCACACGAUGCGUCGACAGCGUUACUGUUAUCGUCGCUAUUACUGCCACUACAGGUGUUACUGUAUCGAAAGGGGACGCAGUAGAAGUCUCGUUCAUGGAAUUCGUAUUAAAUGAUUGUUCUAUUGCCAACGAUGCUCUCCAAAGUUCAUGAGUAUUGGGACAUCUGCUAGUUUCACGUAAAACAUGGUAGUUUAACCAUAAUUAUCAAGGAAACGCACGAUUAAUCAGAAUUCGUCAUGAAAAAUUGCGAUCAAAUUCACGCGAUGAGAAUAUGUUAAAUCGUGUUCAAGAAUUGAGAGAAACUCGAAGAAUGGUUUAUAGCGUGUGUAGAAUGGAAUAACAACAAAACAGAAUGACAAAUAAAACAGUGAAUGAUACAUUUGAUCAAAACUGAUUAAUUGAAAAAUACGACCGGUAUGUGAGACAGAGAAAUUAGAGAUUAAUUUUAUUAUAUCAAAUUGAUGAAUUGUUAUAC